GCUAUCCCAGAGCUGGAAGACCACAUACGACGGCUCCAAGGUGAAAAGGCCAGGCUGGAAACCACAGUCCAGCAACAAGCAAAGACCAUCGAAGCCCUUUGGAAAAAACUGCAAGCCUGUGCCUUAGUAAGCUACUCACAGCCUUCCCUUUUCGUGAGCUACAGAGCCUAGUUCUGUAUCUGUGUGGGAAAUUUUAAGAUGAGGUUUUCCUGGAGAGCCUAGGAGAGAUCAGUUUCUCUGUUCUACUGACUACAGGCUGCUCUGAAAGUCCUGCUGGCCCAUUCCCCCAGCUUUCUGGCUUUGAGAGUUGUUCCGUGAGACUAUAGCAAGUCCUUCUUAAUGCCAUCUUUGUUAAGGACUUGACAGCAAUGCACUGGCUUAAGUAUUUUCUGCUUUAGACCAGUCGUGAGCUUGAGACCUCAGGCAGCACUUCAGACAGUCCUGCGGUAGAGGGGUUUGGUGCCUUCGGUUGCGGACACUCCUUGGGCUCUGGUGGUGGUGAGCACGUAGUCCUGGAGGCCUGACUGGCAUCAUCAGACUGGGACAGGAAUUCUUCCGUGGCCUGUACUCUGGGCACCUUCCCAUGUUAGUGGCCAUGGAUUCCUUGGCCAGAAGGUGUAGGUCUGUAAUGCAACGAGAAGACCUCCAAAGAUGAAAGGCUGCAACUAAUAAGGGAAUGACACCUCCAUAGGCCAUAUUUUGUAUGCUUGGUUGGCGCUGCCGUGAGGUAUGACCUUCAGCCAGGGAAGUCCUAGUGUGACUUCUUUUUUCUUCUUUUAAUGCUGCUGUAGUCUCAUAAUGGCCUGGAGGACUCGGUAACCGGCUUUCGGACAACACGGACUGCAAAGGAACACCGACGUCGGCAGCGUGGCAGUGAAAGCAAGGAAGUAAAGAAGCUGGGCAAGACGCAAUGCCGAUCGGAAGCGCUUCCGGAUGAAGCGUGGAAAAGAAACGCCGCGCUGGAGGAAGAACAG